rnacentral:snoRNA from 1 species
AGACCAUGAUGAGGACAAUGCCGAAGCAAUUUUUUGUAUCUUUCCUAGGCUUCAUACAAUGAUACUGAAUCUUGCUGCAUGAAUGAUGUGAUGUUAUUUUGAAUUU